AGGGCGCAAUCCCCAUUCCCUCGACGGGUGUGAAGGCGGGCAGCACCAGAAGGAGGGAGGCGGAAGGUCGGAAGGACGUGGGAGAGGAAGGAGGAGUCCACAGUUGUUUUGGCCACCACCACCAGCAAGCAGCAGCAACAACAACAGAAACAACAGAGGCGGUCAUGCUGUGUGCUGUGGCCCCUCGGAGAGCGAGAGCUUUGUGCUGCGGGGUCGCCUGUCCUCGGUGGCGCGCGAGGGCCCCCCUCGGGAGCCAGGGCCCCAGUGGGGCCCCAGGGGCCCCGUGGCCCGGGGUUCGAUGGGGAAGCGACGACGCAGCGCUGCGCGUCGGUUGCGCGUCCGCGUUCUGGGGAGACACGGCCACCGCAGUACCGCAACUGGUGCACGGCGGCCGGCUGGACUUCCUGGUGUUUGACUACCUCUCCGAGAUCACCAUGUCCCUCCUGGCCAACGCGAAGAGCAAGGCGCCGAACAUGGGGUACACGCCUGACUUUGUGUACGCUGCAAUGGCUCCGUUCAUCAAAGACAUCCACAAGAGGGGCGUGCGCGUGGUGAGCAACGCGGGCGGCAUGAACCCGGAGGCGUGCGCGCUGGCGCUGCGAGAGGCCGCCGCCAAGGCCGGGGUGCAGCUCAGCGUGGCCGUCGUGUCGGGGGACGACCUCGUGGAGCACAAGGCGGCGAUCGCAGAGUCCGGAGUACGAGACCUGGACACUGGAGCGCCCUUCCCACAGUCCGUCUACAGCAUGAACGCAUACCUGGGCGCGCAGCCAAUCAGCCGGGCGCUGGACCUCGGGGCGGACGUGGUCAUCACUGGCAGGUGCGUGGACAGCGCCCUGGUGCUGGGUCCUCUCAUUCACAAAUUUGGUUGGAAACCCCAAGACUAUGACCUCCUUGCGGCAGGCAGCCUGGCAGGGCAUCUGAUUGAAUGUGGUGCUCAGUGCACGGGUGGAAUAUACACCGACUGGCACACCAUCCCAGACUGGGACAACAUCGGCUACCCGGUGGUGGAGUGCUCGGCCAACGGAAGCUUCACGGUGAGCAAGCCCCCCGGCACGGGCGGCCUGGUGUCGCCCGGCACGGUGUCGGAGCAGCUGGUGUACGAGGUGGGCGACCCGCGGAGAUAUCUGCUGCCCGAUGUGACGUGCGACUUCUCCGAGGUCACGCUGACCGAGCUGCCCGGUGUGGAAGGCGGCGCGGUGCUGGUGCGGGGAGCCAAGGGGUCACCGCCGUCACCGUCCUACAAGGUGAGCGCGACAUUCCUCGACGGGUUCCGCGCCACGGCCGUGUGCCCCAUCGGAGGCCCCCGGGCGGCCGAGAAGGCCCGGAGGACGGCCGACGCCAUCCUCAAAAGGGCUCGGAGGAUCUUCAAGCAUUUGGGGCUCAGUGACUUCUCGAAGGUUCACGUGCAGGUGCUGGGAGCCGAGGACACGUAUGGGCCACACGCACGCAGCUGGCCCGACGGGGGUCCCAGGGACGUGGCCCUGUGGAUGUCCGUGGGCCACAGCCACAAGAGGGCGCUGGAGCUCUUCCGCAUGGAGAUCGCUUCGGCGGGCACCAGCAUGGAACAAGACCAAGGUGAGGCUAUACAUAGAGAAAGAAAAACCCAAUCGCGCAGUCCACACCGGGCUCCAUCGUCGGUGACGGAUCCUGUUGUUGGGGCUGGUGCUGUGUUGCGAGCGCCUCUUAAGGUGGACCUCAGCCUGAACGGCGUUCACGUGGAGACGUUCACGGGAGACGCGGCGGAGCCCGGCGGCUCGGCAGUGCCGGACGAGACGGCGCAAGAGGGCGCCUCCUCCUCCUCCUCCUCCUCGUCGUCGUCCGGCGAGGCACAGCUGCCCGGGGGCUCGCACAGCUACAGACUGGAGGAGCUGGCGUUGACGAGGAGCGGCGACAAGGCCGACACGGUUAACAUCGGGGUGAUCGCGCGGCACCCAGCACUCUACCCCUACCUCAAGGCGCGACUCACGGUGAGCGUCGUGCAAAAAUACUUCCAGCACCUCGGCAACGGAGCGUCGGGCCCAGCCGUGAGCAGGUAUGAGCUGCCAGGAAUCCACGCUCUGAACUUCGUCCUGCGGGAGGCCCUGGGCGGCGGAGGAAUCACUUCACUCCGCAGCGACCCCCAGGGCAAAGCUCUCGGCCAGAUGCUGCUCGACUUGAAGGUGGGAAACCUCCCGGAGCUGAAGGACAUGGCGAGAUGAGAGCGGACGGCGGCGAGAGCGUGAAAGCCGCCGCCCCUGGCGAUUUGAAGAGAAACGCGCCGUCAACCGCCGGGUCGGCCGACGGGCUGGCGGGCGAGCGUUGUCGUGCCCUUUCCUCGGCGAGUGGGCGACGUUUCUCUGUGGGCCCGGCACCACGGCCGUGUGCCCCAACCCGGAAGGCCACCUUAACAAAAUCCACGCUGACCGGCACGGCGAAGUAUGGCGACGCGAUAUAACCGCAGGGAGUUUUGCCAAG